GACGAACGCUGGCGGCGUGCCUAAUACAUGCAAGUAGAACGCUGAAGGAGGAGCUUGCUUCUCCGGAUGAGUUGCGAACGGGUGAGUAACGCGUAGGUAACCUGCCUGGUAGCGGGGGAUAACUAUUGGAAACGAUAGCUAAUACCGCAUAACAGUAGAUGUUGCAUGACAUUUGCUUAAAAGGUGCAAUUGCAUCACUACCAGAUGGACCUGCGUUGUAUUAGCUAGUUGGUGAGGUAACGGCUCACCAAGGCGACGAUACAUAGCCGACCUGAGAGGGGGAUCGGCCACACUGGGACUUAGACACGGCCCAGGCUCCUACGGGAGGCAGCAGUAGGGAAUCUUCGGCAAUGGACGGAAGUCUGACCGAGCAACGCCGCGUGAGUGGAGAAGGUUUUCGGAUCGUAAAGCUCUGUUGUAAGAGAAGAACGAGUGUGAGAGUGGAAAGUUCACACUGUGACGGUAUCUUACCAGAAAGGGACGGCUAACUACGUG
rnacentral:rRNA from 1 species